rnacentral:rRNA from 1 species
UACGGAGGAUGCAAGCGUUAUCCGGAUUCAUUGGGUUUAAAGGGUGCGUAGGCGGACUAUUGAGUCAGUGGUGAAAGCCUGCAGCUUAACGGUAGGAUUGCCAUUGAUACUGUUAGACUUGAAUAUGGAUGAGGUAGGCGGAAUGUGUAGUGUAGCGGUGAAAUGCAUAGAUAUUACACAGAACACCGAUUGCGAAGGCAGCUUACUAAUCCAUCAUUGACGCUGAGGCACGAAAGCGUGGGGAU